CUCGAAACUAAAAGAGGGGGUGAUGUUAGGGACAUAGUGUUAGGGACAUAGUCCUUAGAACCUUCUAGAGACAAGUCUCUGGAACCUUCUAGAAGCAAGUCUCUGGAACCUUCUAGAAGCUUCCUAGUUGAUGGAAGUUGCUUGAGAAGCUUCCUACUUGGUAGAAGAUGUUAGGGACAUAGUCCUUAGAACCUUCUAGAGACAAG
rnacentral:lncRNA from 1 species